ensembl:lncRNA
GGACGAGUUAGAGCCAGAAGGAGACUGUGGAGAGAGAUUGAGAGCUGCCAGCCUCGGCACAUCGGAGAGGACACACGUCUGUAUGCCUGACACGCCGGUCUUCUAGGAGAUGGCGGUGUGGAAUGGUGGACGGGUCUCUGGACGUCCCAAGUCAGAGGACACACGGACACACUCACACCCACAUUCCAGCCUGUGGCCGAGGGAACAGCAGCUCAGGGACAUUUACCUACACACACGUGCUGCUCCUCUGCUUCCUGAUUGGCCGAGGUGCGUCGGCUGGCGAUGGAGCAGUAGGAGACCCGGGUUGAUGAGACGCUGAGGAGGACGAGAGGUCAGUGCUCCCUCUAGAGGUGGAGAUCUGGGACAGCGGAGGACCGGGGCCCUGCGGUCCUGCUGGACUGAGGAGCUCGCCGCCGCUGCCCCAAGACGCCGUGGGGGUCCAGUUCAGGCCGUCAGACUCAUGGACACGGAGGGGGCGGCUUAUGUGGAGCCUUGAGGAAAUGAGUGCUCUGUAAUUCUAAACCCAAGCACAAAGAAGUCGAUGGCUCCAUGAUGAUGGAGAGGGAUACAGACAGGACACACAGAACAGAACCACUCGGGUUUUACACCUCAUGAACUUGUUUAAUACUUUGUAAAAAACAAAAGAAGAACAGCGUCGUUGGUGAAGAGGGAGACAGGAAACAAGACCAAUAAACAGUGUGUGGGUUCUUUCAGGAUGAAGAGUAAAUAAUUAAAGAAGAUUCUAGAUGGACCAGGGAAAGGUUUUUUUCUCUUUUUUCAGGAAACAACCGAACAAACGCACGGAAGAACAGGGCCACUCCUUCUGAGUGCGUUUCCCCGUGUUGAGGGAACCAAAGCAGCCACAUCCGCCAACAAGCCGGCAGUCAUCCAUGAACCGGCGGGCGCCGGUUUCAAGGCUGCCUGGUUGAAAACAGCGGGACGGGCUCUGUGUCAAUAGGUCAAAAUGCCGCCCCGACACCUAGUCUCUACGCAUUGGUUGAUUAGUCAGUCACAGCCUGUAUCCCAUAGCAACAAACAAAAGAAACGCAUGUUUAAGACAGCUACUCAUUUCAAAAUGUAACAAAGAUGGAAACAUCUGCGACUCAACGGAAUCGCUUCCUCGCGCCUCUAAAAUGAUCCUCACGCAGUAAGAAAAAAAGAGCUUCACAUCCUUUUUCAAACGGAGAAACAGAGUUCUUUCUCCAGGUCCGUGGUGCUGAGCGUUUGCCGAGGUGAAGCAGUGGAGGAGGCCGGCUUUGUGUGGAUGAAGCUUCAGGUCAACACCUCAGCUUCUCCUCUGUGCAUUCGAUUCGCUCAACAAACCAAACAAACAGCGCUCAACACAUCAGCACCAGAGCAACGGGAUCGGCCAAUCAAACGGAUUCACUACACACGUUCAUGGAAGCAUACACAUGUAGCCACACACACACACACACACACACACACGCACACACACUACAAUAAAUGCUCAAAAUAGCAUCCGCCAACCACCAGGUGGAGCUAAAACAUCAUCAACGUCUGUUUAUCAUCCACUAAGCUCAAAGCGCAUUGGCGCAGCUGGAGGAAUGGGAAUCCUGAAUGUUCUCACUGCCAAUUCAAGUCAACUUGUAACAGAGUUAAUUAAAACAGAACAACAAUGUGCAACUGUUUACCACAAUAUGAAUCAACAAGUUGCAUGUCCUUCGGCUUUGAUUGGUAUCUGCUCAGCGGAGUUCCACACUGGUAUUCUUCUUCCCUCCAGCACUCGACUGGUUGUGUAGUCGUUCCAAUCUCCAGCUUAGACAUUCAGAACAGGAAGCUCCACAGAAAUGUAGCGCGUCCUGAAGUCAGCCUCCUCCCUGAGGGGGGAGCGACUGACCUGUCUGAGGACAGCGGGUCAGGAGGCCCCAUCAGGCUGUUCUUUACCAGCCUCCACCAGAGAGAGGCGGCCACACAAAAACCUACACCACCACCAAAGUCUUUAGGUUAGACCACCGUACUGACACGUUAAACAAAGCCACCUGUCUGACAGGCCAUCUAACGGUCCGCCUCCGAGUCCGCAUCACAUGGGGGGAGGCCACGGCUGUGAGAAGUAUUUGGACUAUCUGCAGGGCAGGAAGCGCGUUGCUCGUCGUGGUCGAAGCAGCUGCUUUCGUUGCCUAAGUGCUUUCUGAAAUACAAAAACAAACAGUGGCUGCGUCUGGAGGAGCACCAACACUGAUCACACACCGCCAGAAUGCACAAGCACAGCUGGUGUUCCUCUCCCAUCGGAGGGAACGAUAAAAGAAAAGAAAAAGAAAGGGGGACUUCUACAUCUUCAGCACACCUGUUGGAUGGGGAAUGGCUGACGGAUUUGUCUGAGUACUUGCAUAAGGUUUGCAUUGAUGUAAACGUGCACGUCUUAAACUAUAUUUGUUAUUUAGCACCUGGUAGAGGACAGCUGUGCCUCUUUCCCGUAGAAUGACACUGCAUGUACGAUGGCUAGUGACUAAAUACACCUCAGAACAGAAGAGCUUUUAAAUACUAAAUAAGCACGUCAGAAAUCUUUGUGCACGCCAGCACUGCUCCUCUCUCAGCGUGUCGACUAAUUCAGAAUAGAUUUCUUUAUGUGCUACUUGCACUUGACUUUCCUCUGCGAUGCUCCGAUUCAACCGGCCAAAGUGUUCACUCACAGUAAAUGUCAGUCAGCCAGCCAAUGGGUUACAGAGAGAGGCCUGGAACAUCGGCAGAGGUCGGUGCGGUCCGGCCCCGGGCUCCUUGAUGACCUCACCUAAGAGGCGAGUCCCAUGUGGAACGGACAGCCAAAACAAACAGCUUUCAGAUGCGCUGGUUGGAGCCACACGUUGCACAUGGACACGAGUGUGAACAGGCAUCUGUUAGCAGGACUCCCCGGACCCUCUUUUGGAUUGUUCACAUCUACUGUCCAUCCACAAGCAUCGGGCCAAUGCACACUGCGUGCAGGUAGUAGCUGUAGGGUUUACAUUAUUCCGCAUUGUAAUCUUUUAUUUACAUUAACGGAACACCACCUGCAAGUGGCUCAAUCCCUGGAUCCCUGUCUGUCAAGCCAGACGCAGCC